rnacentral:rRNA from 1 species
GACGAACGCUGGCGGCGUGCUUAACACAUGCAAGUCGAACGAAGUGGCGAACGGGUGAGUAACGCGUAAUCAACUUGCCCUUCAGAGGGGGACAACAGUUGGAAACGACUGCUAAUACCGCAAACUGAAGGAGGGGAUUGCGUUUGAUUAGCUCGUUGGGGGGGUAACGGCCCACCAAGGCGAUGAUCAGUAGCCGGUCUGAGAGGAUGAACGGCCAAAUUUGGACUGAGACACGGCCCCGACUCCUACGGGAGGCAGCAGGGGGGAAUCUUCCGCAAUGGACGGAAGUCUGACGGCGCAACGCCGGGUGGUUGAUGACGGCCUUCGGGUUGGAAAGCUCUGUUAAUCGGGACGCGGUACCGGAAUAGAAAGCCACGGCUAACUACGUGCCAGCCGCCGCGGUAAUUC